rnacentral:rRNA from 1 species
GACAUUUGGUAGAGGUGAGGCCACCUGGGCCCAGCAGACCCCAGAGAAUGGCCACAUUCGCUGGUGCUGGAAAAAGGUCACUGGGGGUGAAGCCUGGUGCCAGAUGUGU